AGAGUUUGAUCCUGGCUCAGGACGAACGCUGGCGGCGUGCUUAACACAUGCAAGUCGAGCGGUAAGGCCCUUCGGGGUACACGAGCGGCGAACGGGUGAGUAACACGUGGGUGAUCUGCCUUGCACUCUGGGAUAAGCCUGGGAAACUGGGUCUAAUACCGGAUAUGACCAUUGGUUGCAUGAUCGGUGGUGGAAAGAUU
rnacentral:rRNA from 1 species